rnacentral:rRNA from 1 species
GACGAACGCUGGCGGCGUGCCUAAUACAUGCAAGUCGAGCGAAGUUUUUCUGGUGCUUGCACUAGAAAAACUUAGCGGCGAACGGGUGAGUAACACGUAAAGAACCUGCCUCAUAGACGGGGACAACUAUUGGAAACGAUAGCUAAUACCGGAUAACAGCAUAAAUCGCAUGAUAUAUGUUUGAAAGUUGGUUUCGGCUAACACUAUGAGAUGGCUUUGCGGUGCAUUAGCUAGUUGGUGGGGUAAAGGCCUACCAAGGCGACGAUGCAUAGCCGACCUGAGAGGGUGAUCGGCCACACUGGGACUGAGACACGGCCCAGACUCCUACGGGAGGCAGCAGUAGGGAAUCUUCCGCAAUGGGCGAAAGCCUGACGGAGCAACGCCGCGUGAGUGAAGAAGGAUUUCGGUUCGUAAAGCUCUGUUGUUAGGGAAGAAUGAUUGUAUAGUAACUAUAUACAGUAGAGACGGUACCUAACCAGAAAGCCACGGCUAACUACGUGCCAGCAGCCGCGGUAAUACGUAGGUGGCAAGCGUUGUCCGGAAUUAUUGGGCGUAAAGCGCGCGCAGGUGGUUUAAUAAGUCUGAUGUGAAAGCCCACGGCUCAACCGUGGAGGGUCAUUGGAAACUGUUAAACUUGAGUGCAGGAGAGAAAAGUGGAAUUCCUAGUGUAGCGGUGAAAUGCGUAGAGAUUAGGAGGAACACCAGUGGCGAAGGCGGCUUUUUGGCCUGUAACUGACACUGAGGCGCGAAAGCGUGGGGAGCAAACAGG